rnacentral:rRNA from 1 species
GACGAACGCUGGCGGUGUGCUUAACACAUGCAAGUCGAACGGUAAGGCCCUUUUGGGGGUACACGCGUGGGGGACGGGUGAGUAACACGUGAGUAACCUUCCCUCCUCUCUGGGUUAACUGUCUGCAACGGUUUCUAAUUCUGGAUAUGAGCUUGCAAGGCCUCUUGUGGGUUGGUAAGAUUUUUUUUGGUUGGGGAUGUACUCGCGGCCUUUCAGCUUGUUGGUGUGGUAGUGGCUCACCAAGGCUUCGACGGGUAGCCGGCCUGAGAGGGCGAGCGGCCACAUUGGGACUGAGAGACGGCCCAAACUCCUACGGGAGGCAGCAGUGGGGAAUAUUGCACAAUGGACGGAAGUCUGAUGCAGCAACGCCGCGUGCGGGAUGACGGCCUUCGGGUUGUAAACCGCUUUCAAUUGUGACGAAGCUUUUUUGUGACGGUAGCAGUAGAAGAAGCACCGGCUAACUACGUG